GUAAAUAUUAGGCUUUCCUUUAUAUAACCUGUAUUUAAAAUGGGUCUCUUUUACGUAACCUUUUUAUUUCUAAGUUCUUGCCAGUCCUCUAUUUUCUCUUUUAUGUAAUCUGUAUUUAUUUUGAAUCUCUUUUACGUAACCUCUCUCACAUAUCUACAGUUUAAUCCUUUAAGCUGUUUUUAAAGCCUCUCAGUAAGGUAAUAAUUCCCCCUUAUAUACAGUGGAAGCUUAUAGUUAUCUCCCCUAUAGUGAGGUUAUAUAAUUCUUUAUUUCAUUGUUUAUAUUCUGGGUUAAUUAUUUGGUCUACACUCAGGUUAAUUAAUAUACGCUCAGGUUAAUUGGUCUACACUCAGGUUAAUUAAUAUACGCUCAGGUUAAGUG